GGCAGCAUCGUUGCAGAUGUCAAAGCCAAAAUCUUGCAGCCUCCUGCUGGCACUCUCUGCCCAUUGGCACGGGGACUUUCCCCGCAGCAUUGCCAGGAGCAAGCUCCUCGUCUGUGCGCUGCGAAGUCGUGCUUCCCCUGCCUUCUGAAGCAAAGCCCAAUGCUCAAAUUAUCUUUUCACUAAGUAUUGUAUUGCUAUGCAAAUGCCAAAGACGCCCAC
rnacentral:RNase_MRP_RNA from 1 species